CCAUUAUAAGAGAACAAGAGAGGCAUUCGUGGUGAGUUCUGGCACCUCUUUUUCUAGAAAAAGAGCACUGGUAUCAAUACUAUCCAUAUCAAUACCUAAUACUACGAUGUUCAGGAUUGCCUAAUCACAUUCAGCAUAUUGUUGUCAUAUCAUCAUAUAUCUUUCAAAGACUAUCAAAGGAGCAAACACUAAAUAUGGACCCUUAGGUCAUAUCCACACCAAACAUUUAAAACACUCUUAUACCACUUUAACUGUUAUGGAGAAACUCGGUAGCUAUAGUUUUUUAAAAGUGCUGGGAAUUGUAGCAUUUACUCUGAGUGUGACUCACAUUGGAUACAACCCAUUAUUAUAUUUGGGUACGGGGUCAUUUUUGUCCUGGUGGCUGCUGCUGCUGCUUUCCUGGAUGAGACUCACAGAUGGUCCCACUCAAUCAGGGGUCACCCAGUGAAUGGAAUACAAUAAGCCCACAAUUUAUGUGGGGUUUACGUUCCAGGGAUUGCGCCUAAAGCCAAAAUCACGUAUAGUCAAAACACACUGGGUUCAAUGGUGAGCGCAAUUGCCAGAGUCAUCUUUCCCAGAACCCCGUUCCCUUUCUGCCCUUUUAUUAGUUUUUUUGGUUUUGUUUUUUAAAGCCACAUACAUAAAGCUGAAUACACAUAAGAUAAAUGUACAUAGGUUGUGGAGCUCAUUGUACCAAAAAAAGGACCUAGCCAAUCAGAUUCAUGGCGAUUUUACUAUGGGCAAAUGAGGGCAUCAGAAAUAAUUUAUUAUUUUCUCAAUGAGCACCUAAAUCACUGAAAUGGGUUGUUCAGCACCGGCAAAAAAUGUUUGCAAACAACUGUGAGCAGUUUUAACUCAGCUGUGACGUGCAAAUCGGUUUCCCAAAAACAUUCCUGCUGGUAAUAUACAGUUGCUGACUCACACUUGCGUGCAUCAAAGGGUUAAUCUGAGCCCCUCCCUCAAGUUACUGUGGGUGGGAUUUAGCAAUUUCCCAGAAGCCUUUGCUCCCUCUCUUUCCCUCUGCUUCCUCAAAGAAGCUGCAGCCAAUUAAAGGCUCCCACCUGUGAGGAAAAGCAGGUGAGUGAGAAAUCUCUCCAAAAGGAGAUUUUUAUGGCCCGGUUCUUUAGUAAGGAAGCAAAGCUCUUCCUUUUCAAGUCGUUUGGAACCACUUUCUUUAUUUUACUGCCAACAGAUGGAUACUUGUUUGCUGAAACGCCUGAAACUCUUAUCUUGAGUUACUUGCAAGAUUGACACAUCCAACUAGCCACACUGGCCUAUAACCUGGCUUUGAGAAACUGUGCGCCGGAAAAGUGAUGUGCAGAGAAUCAUGUUCUCUUCAGAAAAAAGAUACAGGAGGUGGGGAAGUGUGAGCAGCUGGGGGAGCCAGGAGAGUGCUGGAGAAAUAUUCAAUGGACAUAAAAAACACACAUGUGACCUUCAGGCACCUCACAAGGCUAAGUGCUCCCUAGCAAACUGGCAAGAACCACUUCCCACCUGACAGACUGCAUUGCAUCAACCAAACAAGCCAAUAUAGUUCUUCAAAUAUUCUCCCAGAGCCUGACCUCACAUUUUGGUUGAAGCAAAGUUUGGCAGUAACACUACUACAUUUCCAAGAGUUCUGCAAGAAGAAGGGCACAGAUAAUCAAGCUCAGCCUGCCUGGGUAAAGAAAUCUUGAAGAAGAUGGAGAUGCCUCAUUCUCAUGGAGGUCAAGUUUGAACCACACCAGAUGCAGAUGGGGAGCUCUUAUGGAAGAAUAUAAAGCGCAUAAAGAAUUGACAGGUCAGUGAGUCCUUUCUCCUCAACAUUUGUUUUCUGUUUUUUAUAUAAAGGGCCAUUCAGUCACAUUGAACUACUGGCACGGUUACAGCCCAGUUCACGUUUAUCACCACUGCCAACCCUAGUUCCAGUUUAAAUUUCUAUGACCACAGGGAGGGCUAGUCUGGUUAGAGGGAUGACUCCUUCCCCUUGAAGAGAAGGCCAAAGGAUGGAGAGGAACCUGCCUGAUGCCUCCAGUAGGAGGCAUCCAUUCUAGGAAGAAAAUAAUAGCUCAGUCAGUAGAGGACAAGACUCUUAAUCUGAGGGUUGUAGGUUUGAGCCCCACAUUGGGCAAAAGAUUCCAGCACCGCUGGGGUUGGAAUACAUGACCAUCAUGGUCCCUUCCAACUCUACGAUUCUAUAAAAAUCUCCCACUUGGAUAUGGCAAAUUGUAACAGCAGCAAUAUAGCAAACAGCAAUAGAAAAAUAGGAAUUUACCCAAGCCAGAGCAGAUGGGACAACUAGAAACCUCCCCACAGAACCAUGUUUUAAUAAGGUGACUACAAGGAAGGUAAAACAGGGCUGGGGUGUGUGCCUACCUUGUGGAGGACCUUGCCUAAUGAUGGUGUCACAUCUGAAAAGGUCCCUGGGCUACUCCACUAUUCCCUUGCUAUGUCUUGGGUUGCACUUGGAAGCCAGCAGCCAAGGUACAUAAGUGAAGAGCUCUUUGCUGCCAUUAACAGUUGGAAGAGGGUUGUUUGGGUAUUUUGCCAUUUCCUGUGAUGCAGAAUAGGGCUGGAUGGUGUUGGGUUUUCAGCAUUGUGGUGUAUCACCAGUAGGCCUGGGCAAUAUAUCGCCCAGGACUGGUAUGAGGAGCAGACCAUGAUGUCAGUAUCUCUCAGUGGUAUAUCGCUGGUGAAACCACCACUGCUCCUGACUGCUCCCUCUGCUAGCAGUGUCCGCUGGAGGGAGUCAAGUUCCCUCCUCCAGCGGGCUCUCCUAUCAGAGGGACUCAGGAGUGGUGGCGGUUUCACCAGCGAUAUACCACUGAGAGAUACCGACAUCCCACUCUGCCCUCAUAUGACGCAGAGGGAGAAACAAGCUGUAUUGGUGAGGAGCUGAUACGGCUUGUUCUUCCCUCUGCAUCUUUAAACUGCUCGACUGAGGAGUGUGCAGCUGCCUUGCCUCAGCCAAGCAGUUAAAGGUGCCCUGAUGCUCCUGGGAGAGCACCAGAGCUGUCUCACCUAGGGAGGGGGAACCUUCCUUUUUUAAAAAUACAAUUUUAUUAAAUUUCUGUUUUAAACAACCUUAAGAUAUCAAUGACUUCCCUUCCGCUCUUUCCAUGACUCAUUUUGCACAAUAUAAAUCCCUGCAUAUCAUUAUUACAUCCAUCAAAACUUAUUUACACUGUUGAAUUUAUCUUAAUGCUGCCCACGUUUUCAAACACAAUUUUCCUCCAUAUAUUCAAUAAACAUUUUCCAAUCUCCUUUAAAUAUAUGUUCUUCUUGUUCUCUUAUUCUAUAUGUUAGAACCUUCGUCUUCCUCAGCUAAGCUGCGCAAAGAGGCUGCGUUGUCCCAGCCUGUGAACGUUUCGGUGAAAGCGCCUCAGCUCCCGCAGUGAGAGCUGCAGCAAUUUCACCUAGUGCCUUGUGGGCAGAGGCCAAUGCAGCUUGUUUUUUCAACAUUGCGAUAUAUUGCCAAACCGCAAUGUUUGGCAAUACACUACAAUGGUGAUACACUUUCAAGCUGCAUUGGCUCCAGCUGGCGAGGCACGGGGUGAAAUUGCCUCAGCUCUCACUGCGGGAGCUGAGGCGCUUUCACUCAAGUGCCUUGUGGGCUGGGGCCAAUGCAGCUGCCCCCCACCCAGCCUGCUGCUGAGUUGGGGGCGUGCGGAAAGGCUCCUACCCCCUGCCAAGCCAGCCCUGAGGUCCCUGCCACUUGUGUGUUAGUGGCAGGGGCUCCUUGGCAUGGGGGGCUGCCCACUCGCCUUCCACUCCCCAAAUAUGGACCAGGCAGCAGUAGUGUUUAACUGCCUUCACCCAUACAAGCAUGCUGCCUCUUUCCUCGGGUUGUUCACCCCAGAAGGAAAGACGAAGUCCAUCCUCCUGGGUGAAGUCUGCAAGGCAGGAUGGUGGGCUCUGUUUUUCUGGGAGGAAAGAUGCAGCCCACCCUCCCGGACAAAGCCAGCCAGGCCGUAGCCAAGUUAGGCUGCCUCUGCACAAGCUGGACGCGUAAACGUCUCCAUUGAGGGUGUGCAGCUGCGCCCCCCUCAAUAGAAAAGUGUGACAGAGCCUGCACCUCCCCAGCUAAACACAGCCACAAUCCUGUUCCUACUUGUGUAUGAGCAGGAGCCGGAAAGGGGAGAGCACAUUAAUGGAGACCCCACUGCGCUGCUGGCUGAUGUGAGCCAGUGGCUGGUCAGGCGCUCUGUAAAACAGCUUGGCUGAGGCAAGGGCCCACUGCAAUGGCAGUUUCACUCAACGGUAUAUUGCUGGUGAAACCACCACCAUUCCUGACUUCCUUUGCCUCUAGCGCCUGGCUCCCCUUGUUUCUCCCUCAGCUGGGCGCCGGAGGCAGAGGGAUGCAGUGGCGGUUUCAUGAGCAAUAUAUCCCUGCGUGAAACUGCCAUCGCACUCAGCCCCCUCAUACCAGUCCUGGCCAAUAUUAUCAAUAUAUCGCCCAGGACUAAUGCAGAAGAGGGUUUGCCAGGGGUGGGGGAGGAGGACAGGGGACAGCUGGAAAAUAUCUGGGAGAUGGGUGAAGUCUUCUAGCUGCCAAUUCUCAGAUCACUGCAGCAAACAACCCCAAAAUUCGAUACUUAAAGAAACACUGCCUUUAGAGAUUACACAUCUUCUCUGUUGAGGACAAGACAAAGGCAGCUACAGAAUAGCUCCCGGACUUUUCCUUUUGCUGUCCUGGUCUUACCCCGAG